GCUAGGUGAGGUGGCGCACGCCUGUAGUCCCAGCUACUCGGGAGGCUGAGAUGGGAGGAUCACCUGAGCCCAGGAGGUUGAGACUGUAGUGAGCUGUGAUUGUACCACUGCACUCCAGCCUGGGCAACAGAGUGAGACCCUAUCUCAA
ensembl:misc_RNA Metazoa_SRP Metazoan signal recognition particle RNA